UCCUUCUUCUCCCCAGCGCCCAGCCGUGCGCACGAGUUCUCGGCCGGCGAGUUCGCAAUGGCGACCUCCUGCGCCCCGGCCUCGACCUCUUGCGCCCCGGCCUCGGCCUCCCCUUGCUGCUCACCUACAUCGGCGCCGGCGAGGUGAAGAGGAGGCGCGACGGCGGCCCGCGUAGGCGUGGUGAGGGAGGGCGCCUCGCCGCGGCCGCAGCUGCGCGUCGACGAGCCAAAUCCACAAACUGUGGGCAUGGAGGAACCACGCCGUCAAGCUCAUCUAGGGCCGCCCGAUGCUCAAGCCGCCGCCGCCGCCGGAGCUCCAUUGCUCCGCCGUUCUAACCGACAACGCCGCCGUAUCCACGCCAUUCUGCAGCCCGUCCUCGACCACGCCGGAGCUCCCCUAUGCCCCGCCGCCAGAGCAAGCAGCAGCUGCGGCGACACGCACGGGGAGGGAGUGCCCGCCGGCGUCCACCAUCGGAUCGGGGGGAGAUGAAGUGACCAAGGACCCGAUUGCUUUUUAUUCAGGGGCCCUUCUGCAAAAUAAGUUGUAUCGGGAUGUAAUUGCUUUUUUUCUUUGCCAUGUCAUCAUGUUCAGCGGGACCCACCUGUCAUAAUCGUAUUCAAAACCACCUAAGUGGGUGAUUAGUGUUUUUUGCAAAAAAAAUAGCCUCG